GUUAGUAGGGUGGCGAUUCCUGCAAUGUUCGACACGUGAGAGGUAGUUACGACAGUGUUCUGUCCAUGAAAAGCGGUGUAUGUUUCUCAGGCCAUUUUUUCGGCAUUCAGCCCAUAGAUUCUUGUCGGCCACAAGCUUGAGGAGGGCAUCUGCUAUGGCAUUUUGAUCAUGUGGGUCAACUAGGAGGCCAUUGUUAAGUACCUGUGAAUAAACUCUCGUUUGUUAUUGCGUUGGAAACACAUCAUUUUCACUGAAAUUGCAUAUUUUCUCAGUAACCUAUAUCACUUGGACUGGAAGAUAAAAACCAAACUUGUAGGCACAUAUUGCAUCUCACCUUCAAGAUGUCCACUGGUCCACCAUUUUUGGUGGCAACAACAGGUAGGCCAUAAGCUGCUGCCUGGGAAGAUGAAAUCAGAAAUGAGAAUUAAUAAUUAUAGAGCUAAUGGUUACCUUGAAAUUCUGAAAAUCUGAAUGUUACUAUGAUCCAGCUUACACAUGUGAGUCAAAGCUUUGUAUUUACCUCAAUGAGUGUAAGACCAAAUGGUUCCACAAGAGCUGGGUUGAUGAAAACUCCCUUCAAGUUUAAGUUGCCAUAAAAGGUCAAUUUUAACAGUUUUAUGGUUGCAGAAACACGAAAUUCUUAGCAAUAUACAUACUUUGGUCUUGGCAGCUAAGCGAUAAAUCUCAGGAACUUCUGAUUGUUUGUGAUGCUUGGGAUAGGCCACUUGACCGUACAGGUCAAAUCUAUCGAUGAGUUUUAGUACAGUCGUCAGCACUACUGAGCUGCUAUUGGACAUGUCUUCAAUAUCAUCUCUGUUUCCAAGUAUCAAUGUC
rnacentral:lncRNA from 1 species